AUUCAGGUGUCGAAAUUGGUAGACGCACCAGCUUCAGGUGCUGGCGAUCGUAAGGUUGUGGGGGUUCGAGUCCCUUCCUGGGCACCA
rnacentral:tRNA from 1 species